rnacentral:rRNA from 1 species
GACGAACGCUGGCGGCGUGCUUAACACAUGCAAGUCGAACGGAAAGGCCCUGCUUUUGUGGGGUGCUCGAGUGGCGAACGGGUGAGUAACACGUGAGUAACCUGCCCUUGACUUUGGGAUAACUUCAGGAAACUGGGGCUAAUACCGGAUAGGAGCUCCUGCUGCAUGGUGGGGGUUGGAAAGUUUCGGCGGUUGGGGAUGGACUCGCGGCUUAUCAGCUUGUUGGUGGGGUAGUGGCUUACCAAGGCUUUGACGGGUAGCCGGCCUGAGAGGGUGACCGGCCACAUUGGGACUAAGAUACGGCCCAGACUCCUACGGGAGGCAGCAGUGGGGAAUAUUGCACAAUGGGCGGAAGCCUGAUGCAGCAACGCCGCGUGCGGGAUGACGGCCUUCGGGUUGUAAACCGCUUUCACCUGUGACGAAGCGUGAGUGACGGUAAUGGGUAAAGAAGCACCGGCUAACUACGUG